AGGCAGAAAGGAGACUUGAGUGCUCACUUGCUGGACUGGAGGGGAAGAUCUGGUUGGAAUCCUGUCAUCUCAUAGCUUCCCUGAUCCAUUCUCUCCUUGCCAAACUGUUAGCUCCACCAGGAUCCUUCCAACUAGUCCUUAACACAGGGUUUGCUCUCCAGUUUCCCUGAUGAUAAGAGGCCUUCCCAGCCUCCACCAGACUUCCCAUCCUCUGCCCAUUUGCUUCCGCUGACAUCAGAUGAGAGCUAAGUAAUCUUUGGCUCUGAGGAUAGAGUGAGUCCAAGGAAGGGAGACUUUGUUACGUCCCUUUACCUUGGCAGUGACAGACUUCCAGGGACAGAUUUUAGUGGACUACAUCUGACGCGGAUGGUGGUUGAUCUCCCAGAACUGCAGGACUGGGUGACAUCAUUGGACCU